GGGCGCAACUUCCGAUCCAGCAAUGCCGCGUGAGGGAUGAAAGGCCUUCGGGUUGUAAAACUCUUUUGGCAGUGACGA
rnacentral:rRNA from 1 species